UUCUGAAAAUGCAGGUUAGCUCAGAAAUCUGUUUGGCAGAAAGAUGUUUGGCCUUGCUUCUGUUUCCUGGGGCACUCCUGGGCACUCUGCUUUAGCUGGACACUUUCCUGACUCACCAUCACCACCCUCACCCAGCAGUUCUCAUGAGAGCAAUCUGUAAUCCUUUGGUGUCCCAGGUGGUGGUACAUUCCAGACUACCCUCUGAUAUUGGUAACUGCUUGUCCAAAGAUUCAUGUCUCUAGAAGGAAUAGCUGCAAAAAGAAAGCAAGAUGCACAAUUCCAUGAUGGAAAGAGAAAUAUUUUCAAUAAAGGUUUUGGAAAAGUCAUCACUCAUGUUGGAAGAGAAAAUAAGCUCUUUCCAGAACUCCUCCACCUCUGGCAUUUAAAGAAAGCACUUGGUGCUGACUGUCCAGACAUUCCCCAUAUCUUCUGCCUCAUACAGCACCAAAACCAGCAAAACGAGUGCCUGACAAAGAAGACCACCGAAUCCCUGCGAGUGAGGGAAAUGUUUCUCUUGCUUUAGUGUAUAAGGGAGGAAGGGAAUGUAGCAUGUAACUCCACAGAGGGAAACACAGCAAUGGAUGGUCUUAUCUGUGAGAAAUCCUGACCUCCCAAUUUCCAGUGUACUAUGAAUACUCAGAGAAAAAAAAAAUAAUUUCUGCCUGUUAUCCUAAGUGAUUUUCGCUGAUAUAACUUCUGCAUGUGAAAUGUCAUUGCAGCAGUAUUAAGUUAUAAUUAGAAUAAUUUAAACAUAUAGUGUUUUGAAAAUCAACACUUUCAUGGUAGAACAAAGGCGAUGAUAUCUAUUACCUCUAUAGUAAACAAAGUGAUUUAUAAUGUAAAGUGCAAAAAUGAAGGACAGAAUGUGAGCUUUAAACUUACACAGCAGAGCGGUUUUUCUGACAUGAGAAACUCCAACAAGAAAACAAAAAUACUGGUACCGUGGCAACACCUGAUAAAAGAUUUUAUCUAGAUCUUUCUGUAGUACUCUUCCACUGUAAAGAUCCAAAAUUAAAUGAAGACAAAUGAAGUUCUUUCUCUAAUAUUGUCAUCAUAUAGUGAAAAUGUACUGAUCUGCCUUUUAAUUUUCCCCCCUUCAUUUCUUGGAAAUAGACCUUCUCUGUAGAAUAACAGUCUCUGUUAAAUACCUAUUCAUUCAUUGAUCCUAAAACUAUCUGAUAUAGGGCCGAUAUGGCAGCAAAGCUCUUCACACUUUUUUUUUUUGCUUGCUUCAUCUCUUCACAUUCACAGUUAACAGGCUUGCUCUGUAUAAAAAGAAUAAACACAGUAAUUGGUAUGCCA
rnacentral:lncRNA from 1 species